GAUGAACGCUAGCGGCAGGCCCAAUACAUGCAAGUCGAACGAUACCAAGGGGCUUGCUCCUUGGAGAAGUGGCGCACGGGUGCGUAACGCGUAUGCAACCUACCUUUAUCAGGGGGAUAGCCCGGAGAAAUCCGGAUUAAUACCGCAUAAAAUCACAGGAUGGCAUUAUCCAAUGAUCAAACAUUUAUGGGAUAAAGAUGGGCAUGCGUGUCAUUAGCUAGUUGGCGGGGUAACGGCCCACCAAGGCGACGAUGACUAGGGGAUCUGAGAGGAUGGCCCCCCACACGGGUACUGAGACACGGACCAGACUCCUACAGGAGGGAGCAGUAAGGAAUAUUGGUCAAUGGGCGGAAGCCUGAACCAGCCAUGCCGCGUGCAGGAAGACUGCCCUAUGGGUUGUAAACUGCUUUUAUCCGGGAAUAAACCUACUUACGUGUAAGUAGCUGAAUGUACCGGAAGAAUAAGGAUCGGCUAACUCCGUGCCAGCCGCCGCAGUAA
rnacentral:rRNA from 1 species